UACGUAGGUGGCAAGCGUUGUUCGGAAUUACUGGGCGUAAAGGGCUCGUAGGCGGCCAACUAAGUCAGACGUGAAAUCCCUCGGCUUAACCGGGGAACUGCGUCUGAUACUGGAUGGCUUGAGUUUGGGAGAGGGAUGCGGAAUUCCAGGUGUAGCGGUGAAAUGCGUAGAUAUCUGGAGGAACACCGGUGGCGAAGGCGGCAUCCUGGACCAACACUGACGCUGAGUGAGCGAAAGCCAGGGGAGCAAACGGG
rnacentral:rRNA from 1 species